GACCUCACACGGCAGCACCACAUUCGAGAACCCCUGGAGCCUCGAGAACGACUUGCUAUAGCGUUGAGCUACUUGGCAUCCGGGCAGGACAUAAAAAAUGUUGCCUUGGCUUACCGUGUGGGGAUCGAGACGGCUAGACUCUGCAUUCAUGUGGCCUGUCGAGCAAUCUGGGCAAGUCUGAAAGACCACUACAUGAAGGCACCAAGCACGUCUGAGUGGGCACAUAUUGCCAAUGGGUUCGCUGCGCAGUAGCAGUUCCCAAACUGCUUGGGAGCAGUUGAUGGAAAGCAUGUUGCCAUAGUUGCUCCUCGGAAUUCUGGCAGCUUGUACUACAACUACAAGGGCACCUUUUCAGUUGUACUCAUGGCUGUUGUCGACAGCAACUACA
rnacentral:lncRNA from 1 species